UCCAGCCAGAGUUGACACCACGUGGACAAGCACUAUUGACAAGAGCCAAGAUGUGGAAUCAAUCUAAGUGCCCAUCAGUGGAUGAAUGGAUAAAGAAAAUGUGGUGUAAAUACACAGUGGAACACUCUUCAGCCAUUUGAAACACAGAUAGAACUGGAGGCCAUUAUGUUAAGUGAAACAAGCCAAACAGAAAGGUAAAUACUGCAUGUUCUCGGAUGUGGGAGCUGAAGUGGAUCUUCUGAAGAUAGAGAAUGGACUGGUGUUACCAGGGGCUGGGAAGGAUUGGGAGUAGGGGGAUGAAGAGAGGUUGAUUAAUGGGUACACAAUCUCACAUAAUGUAUUGUAUGCUUUACUGAAAUAAAAACAGAAUGGUUGUAUGGGUACUCUAAGUAUGGUUUCUCCUAAACACAUACGGCUUCCACACCAUCAUAAAAUUGAAAAAUCAUUAAGUCAAGCACUGUCUAAUAUAACUUAAUACAAUGCUAAGGUCCUUCAUUUAAUUGUAACAUAAGUCACUCAAGUGUUGCCAUCCUGGAUGAUUUUCUUGGAUUUUUUUUUUUUUUUUUUUUUUUUAAGACAAGGUCUUCUUGCUCUGGAGUGCAGUGGUGUGAUCACAGCUCAUGGCAGCCUCAUACUCGUAGGCUCAAGCAAUCUUCUCAUCUCAGCCUCCAGAGUAGCUGGGACUACUGGCAUGUUCCACCAUGCCCAGUUAAUUAUUAUUAUUGUUUUUUGUAGAGACGGGGUUUUGCCAUGUUGUCCAGGGUAGUCUCGAACUCUUGGGCUCAAGCGAUCCUCCCUCCUCAGCCUCCCAAAGUGCCGUGUGCCACCAUACCCAGCCCCUCUUUGGUUUUUUAAAAGUGCCUGCUAGCUCAUCAGCACAGGAGCAAGGCGACUUGGAGCCACAAUGAGACAGAUGAUUGCCAGUGUUGUUUCAUUUCAGUUCUUAAGUUCCUGCAUGGGGUGCUUACUGAUGAGUCUGUCUCUCCUCUCAGGUAAGCCAGGCCUCCAUCCACUCCUGCACAGCAGGGAACGCUGCACGGUGGCCCAGGGUUCGUGGUGGGCACGCCGUACCCCUCACCCCCUCCACGUGGAGUCUGGCUGAGGGCUCCCUCCCGCAUGCCAGGCCUGGCAUGUCGGUGCAGGCCCUUGCAUUUCUGGCUGUGCUGCGCAGUCUCACCCUUGAGAAGAAGGGGGCGCUGUUGCCUCAGCCUUGCAGAGUUUCUCUGUGGUCAAACCACCCUGCCAGCCUCCCUGCUGCAGCCGGCAGCACGUCACUCCAUGCGGGAGGGGAGCCCCACCUAAGGUUCUUGGCCAUAAAAUAUGGCUUUUGGAAAAAUAAAGCUGAGACUUGGAGUUCACGGUGGGGGCUCCCCCAUCUGUGAACAGAAGCAGAAGUUUGGAACUGCCUUCUUUACUGCUCGAGAGGGAAAACUUGAGUGAAAACCAGGAUGCUGGCGAAUGUUGAGUAGCUAAGCUGCACAGGAAAUACCACUUGAUGACCUGCGAUCUGGGGAAGCCGCGCCAGGGCUCUGCGAAGCUGCGGACGAGGGAGGCGUCAGUGUGGGGGCUGCAGCUCAGCUCCGGGGGGGACGCGCCUUUCUCCACGGGACCUGGGGCUCAGGUGCUCACGAGGCUGGGGCGCUGCAGGCCACCCGCAGGGGAAACUGAGGCCCUCCAUUUUGUGGGGCUGGAAGACCUUUCCUUCCAAAAGCAGGUGUAGGCGGGAGCACCUGUGCAGUCCCUCUGUUCAGAUCCUCACCCACUUUUAAAUCAGGAAACAGCAGAUGAAAUGCACAGUGUGAAGGACAAGGAUUCUGCUGAGAGAAUUGCUCCGAGGGUUGCUCAAGUGAUCAUGGGAAAUAAUGCAUCAAACCAUUCUUUAGAUGCAGCUCAGGUGUGCCUUUUCUUCGCCUGUGCCCAUCCACCUGAGAUGGACCAUAACCAUAAAAGUCAGAAGGCACUGACCCUUCAGGACGUGACAGGGUUAAAAGAUGCUGGAGGGAAAGUCUGUCAUUGACUUUUAUUCACUUCCUUUCUCCAUUCUGCCAUUUGGAAGAAGCAUAAAUUGCAGAUGAUAAUUCAAAUUCCUGCAUCAGGUGGAAAGUAGCAGAUUUAAAACACUGCAAAGAAGGGGCUGAGCAGUGAGACGGAUGCUUUGGAACAAUCGAGAAAGUAAGAGCCAGCUGUAAGGUUGCCUGCAGCCAUGGAGCAAUGAAGUGUCAAGGUCAAAGAUCCCCCCAGGUCACGCAGUCCUGCCACUCUCCCUCCCUCUAUGGCCCUGCGCACUUCCAGUGGCAUAGCUAGGGUGGAUGAAGGGGACACCUCUGACCACAUCUCUCUGCCCUCUGACUCAAGUCCUUCCUGCUAUAAUGAAAUCCCCCAUGCUCCCUGAGUUUGGCAUCUACUUAAUCAAAGAAUGUGGAGACUUAGUUCUCAGGAGGGCCGCUACUGAGUGGGUAUGCCACUGGUCAAGAGGGUAACAGGAGACAGAAGACCCAGGAGGAGACUUUGGCCUAAAUGGAUCAGCAACACCACAGAGCAUCCACUCCCCCAGAGCAUCACCCGGAAGGACCAUCCGUUCGGAGACAUCCUGGGAGAACAAGAGGUUUCUUGUCUGACUCUAAAAUUUAUUUUAUCAGUGUAUCUAGGAUUGGGCUGAGUUUAAACAGAAAACCUUUAAAUAAGCACUAUAUGCCUGCUAGACAUAUUAAUGCAAUAAAAGAACCCUGUGUCUUGCUAAACUAAAUUCUCAAAAGUUAACAUUAAAAAAUGAUUCACGG
rnacentral:lncRNA from 10 species